AAUUCUAAUGCUGCAAAACAGCACAGCAAAUGUCAAGUGCUGCUCAGACGCCGAUCGUUUCUUGCUCAAAGUGGACGUUCUAGAAGGAAUGAUUUACCUCUGCCUUCACAGGGAACAUAAUUGUACCGCAGGCGUCUUGUGGGCCACUGAAGUGUUCAGGGUGUGAGGAUUGUGGUAGAAGCCUUGUAGGAGAAUGCAAACUCCACGGACCACUCAUCAGGGCUAAAGAUAGGGUUAUUCCCAGCCGAGCCCGUCUCACCCUACCUCACUACCUCACUUUGCGAGUGUUGGAGCUGCGAGCUGGAAACCAGCAGAUCCUUGGUGUAUUUGCAAAGAAAGUAAUACAGAAGAGAACACAGUUUGGUCCUUAUGUUGGUCAACUGUCUACAAAACUGACCUGCUAUGAUGAGAGCAGGCUAGUCCUGCAGGUAUUGAAAGAUGGAGGGAAGUACUUUCUGGACACUCCCA
rnacentral:lncRNA from 1 species